CCUACGGGAGGCUGCAGUAGGGAAUCUUUCACAAUGGGCGAAAGCCUGAUGGAGCAACGCCGCGUGCAGGAUGAAGGCCUUCGGGUUGUAAACUGCUUUUAUAAGCGAGAAAUAUGAUGGUAACUUAUGAAUAAGGAUCGGCUAACUACGUGCCAGCAGCCGCGGUCAUACGUAGGAUCCGAGCAUUAUCCGGGGUGACUGGGUGUAAAGAGUUGCGUAGGUGGCAUAAUAAGUAGCUAGGGAAAUCGGGUGGCUCAACCAUUCAGACUAUUAGCGAAACUGUUAAGCUCGAGACCGUUAGGGGUAACUGGAAUUUCUAGUGUAGGAGUGAAAUCCGUAGAUAUUAGAAGGAACACCAAUAGCGUAGGCAGGUUACUGGGACGGUUCUGACACUAAGGCACGAAAGCGUAGGGAGCAAACGGGAUUAGAUACCCCUGUAGUC
rnacentral:rRNA from 1 species